UAGGGAAUCUUCGGCAAUGGACGAAAGUCUGACCGAGCAACGCCGCGUGAGUGAAGAAGGUUUUCGGAUCGUAAAACUCUGUUGUUAGAGAAGAACAAGGACGUUAGUAACUGAACGUCCCCUGACGGUAUCUAACCAGAAAGCCACGGCUAACUACGUGCCAGCAGCCGCGGUAAUACGUAGGUGGCAAGCGUUGUCCGGAUUUAUUGGGCGUAAAGCGAGCGCAGGCGGUUUCUUAAGUCUGAUGUGAAAGCCCCCGGCUCAACCGGGGAGGGUCAUUGGAACCUGGGAGACUUGAGUGCAGAAGAGGAGAGUGGAAUUCCAUGUGUAGCGGUGAAAUGCGUAGAUAUAUGGAGGAACACCAGUGGCGAAGGCGGCUCUCUGGUCUGUAACUGACGCUGAGGCUCGAAAGCGUGGGGAGCAAACAGG
rnacentral:rRNA from 3 species